CGCAAUGGGCGAAAGUCUGACGGAGCGACGCCGCGUGCUGGAUGAAGUCCUUCUGGAUGUAAACUGUUUUUAUUGGGGAGGAAGUUUAUUGGCGUUACCCUACGAAUAAGAGGUUGCUAAACUCGUGGCAGCAGCAGCGGUAAUACGAAUGGCUCCAGCGUUAUCCGGAAUCCUUGGGCGUAAAGGGUGGGGAAGUGGCUCUGUUAAUCUCUCGUUAAAUAUUCGGGCUUAACCUGAAAAAUGGGAGGGAAACGGCAAAACUAAAGGAAGGGAGGGGUCUGCGGAACUCAUAGUGUAACGGUGAAAUGCGUUGAAAUUAUGGGGAACACCAAAAGCGAAAGGAGCAAACUGGAGCACUCCUGAAACUGAAACACCAAAGCGU
rnacentral:rRNA from 1 species